rnacentral:rRNA from 1 species
UAGUCAUAUGCUUGUCUCAAAGAUUAAGCCAUGCAUGUCUAAGCACAAGCCGAUUAAUGGUGAAGCCGCGAAUGGCUCAUUACAACAGCCAUAGUUUCUUAGAUCUUACUUUUCUACUUGGAUAACUGUGGUAAUUCUAGGGCUAAUACACGCAAACAAGCUCAGACCUUACGGAAUGAGCGCAUUUAUUAGAACAAAAACCAAUCGGGCUUCGGCCCGUCAUUUGGUGAAUCUGAAUAACUUUGCUGAUCGCACGGUCAUCGUACCGGCGACGUAUCUUUCAAAUGUCUGCCUUAUCAACUUUCGAUGGUAGUUUAUGCGCCUACCAUGGUUGUAACGGGUAACGGAGAAUAAGGGUUCGACUCCGGAGAGGGAGCCUGAGAAACGGCUACCACAUCCAAGGAAGGCAGCAGGCACGCAAAUUACCCACUCCCGGCACGGGGAGGUAGUGACGAAAAAUAACGAGACGGCUCGCUAUGCGGUCCGUCAUCGGAAUGGGUACAAUUUAAAUCCUUUAACGAGGAUCUAUU